UACGUAGGGCGCGAGCGUUGUCCGGAUUUAUUGGGCGUAAAGAGCUCGUAGGCGGCUUGUCGCGUCGUUCGUGAAAACUUGGGGCUCAACCCCAAGCUUGCGGUCGAUACGGGCAGGCUAGAGUUCGGUAGGGGAGACUGGAAUUCCUGGUGUAGCGGUGAAAUGCGCAGAUAUCAGGAAGAACACCCGUGGCUAAGGCGGUUCUCUAGUACGGUACUGACGCUGAGACGCGAAAGCGUGGGGAGCGAACAGG
rnacentral:rRNA from 1 species